UUUUUUAAGUUAAAAAAAAUAACUUAAUAUUUAAUUUUAAUGAUUUAGACCAAAAAAAAAACAUAUCAUUUAAAUUCAAACAUUCAACUCUAUUCAGAAUUCAGACUAAUUUUAGUCUAUUCAGAUUUCAGAUAAAAAAACAAACGCCACUUAAGAAUCUUGUCAUACGAAUCAUUUCUACAGAAAUUAACAAGCUCUUGGAGCUUGAGUGGGAUACGUUAGUAUGUGCAUGUGUUUGAUAUAUUUGGCAAAAUAACUGAAAAAAAAAUGCCUUAGAUAAUGUCUUAACUUAACAAAUAACACGUCUCUGCUCUCUUAGCCGUACUGGCUGGCCUGACCCAGCAAAAAUUUCCAAGUACUUGUUAAAUUUAAAUAGUAUGUUCAUCUAAUCAAAUUUAAAGGCAGUUUACAUAAAUUCUCCUAACAUUUUUUAAGUUAUUUACAACUUACAAGAGAAUGCAACGAAAUUUUUAUGGAUUAUUAAUUUGUGCAGAAAGAAAUACAAACAUUUUAUGACAAUGAGCACAUUUCUUUAUAGAUUUUUGUAUUUAAUAACUUAAUAAUAUUUAUGAAAAAAUGAUUGACAUAUAAUAGGACAUGAUAAGUUCGUAUUUGUUGAUGCAGAUUUCUGGUCAACUUAGAGAAUUAAUUUAUAUGGGGGCGAUAUAACAAAAAGACACAAAGAAUUAACAUGGUUCGGCCUUUAACCUACGUCCACGGCCAGAGAAAGAUAAAUAUUUUAUUAAGAUCGCACUUUCAACUUAACUCUCUCUCUUUUUGCUUUUUUUUUUUGUUCGAUAUCUUACACUAUGAGAGACCUCUGCUUUUAUAGCCUUCUAUAGAUAAAGUUGUUUUCUAACUUGAACUCUAUCUAACUCUCCUCUAUCCUCUAGGAUUUUAAUUACAAAAUAUUUCAGCUUUUUAUAGAUUGUAUCCAUGUCAAACUUUAUUAAAUUUGCUUCUACAACCUAUGAACAGAAAUAUUUUGUAAUUAAAAUCCUAGAGGAUAGAGGAGAGUUAGAUAGAGUUCAAGUUAGAAAAUGACUUUAUCUAUAGAAGACUAUAAAAGUAAAGGUCUCUCAUAGUGUAAGGUAUCGAAAAAAAAAAUCAAAAAGUGAGGGAAUUAAGUUGUAAGUGCGAUCUUGAUAAAAUAUUUAUCUUUCUCUGCCCGUAGACGUAGGCCAAAGGCCAAACCACGUUAAUUCUCUGUGUCAUUUUGUUAUAUCGCUCCCAUAUAAAUUAAUUCUCUAAGUUGACUACAAAUCUACGUCAAUAGUAUCAAAAAAAUUACUAAAUGAUUAAAAAAAGUAUGAUUAUUAUAUUUUUCCCUUUGAAUUACAAAAAUCAGUUAUUAGAAGCAUAAUUUUAUUGGAGAUUUAAAAAUAUGUGAUUAUUUUAAAAAGUGUUCAAAGCUCAAUCAGAAAAUAGAACGUCAAAAGGAAGAAUUUCUUGAAGUGCUCUUUGUGUGCUGGUUGUUCUUUUUUUUUUUUUUUACCAAAAACAGAAGAGGAAGAUCCCUUUUUAUACUCAUGUGAAUACGUAACAGCAGCAUAGAAAUUGAAUUUCAGAAUUCAAUACGUGCAAUUUAAUUGUUGUAACAGCCAUUGAAUUUAAAUAAUUCAAUUCAAAAAUUGAAUUGCAUAACAACCCAAAAAUAAUUGUAAAGCUAUUACAAAUAUUUUGAAUUCAAAGAGUUGUGAAACUGUUACAAAAAAUUCAAAAGAAAAUUAAAAACGUGUCAUGCAAGCUUGGGUGAUUUUGGGCUAACAUUCGCAUACGCAGGACGCGCGGGCGCACACGAGUUCAACCAAAUCGGUCAUGGAUUCGCACCCACCUGCGCACGCGCGUGUGGAGAGAGCCUCUAUCCUUAAAACUCAUGAUUCAUUAAAUUUUAGUUGCUAGUAGUUACAUUUUUCUCACUUGAUCAGUUUAAGAAAGUAAAUUGUUUUUCUAAUUGAAUGUAAGAAGAUAACUAAUUAUUAUUUGGUUAGUUUCUUAAUUAAAUUUUUAUUAUUUAAUAAUUCAAGUGAAUAUUUGAUUUUUUAACCGAGACGAAUUCAAAAAUUUACUGACGUCAACAAGAUCUAAAAGUAUAAAAUAAGGCAAAUGCUAUGUUACAAUUAAUGUAACAUACACACUCAACAACAACCACAUAAAUUGUGUGGGUCCAUUAUUUGUGUGAUUAUUAUUGAGUGUGUAUGUUACAUUAAUUGUAACAUAGGAGCUCCCAUAAAAUAAUAUAAAUAAAUUAUAGACGCUGCUUUUUGCUAAUUACAAAAAAAAAAAAACUACCUUAAUGAAGAGAUUAAAUUAUGUGUCAGAACAUCAUGAAAAGUUAAAUAAACAAACAUGAACAAAUCCUACCUACCAUCACAUGUUGACAUUCACAUGGAAAUUAAUAAUUCCAGUCAACCGGAAAAGUGAACAAAAUUUCACCACAAAGAAAUCAACUAAGUUUUUCUUUGGUGCAAAUUCUUAUAUUCCAUACCUCUCCAACGAAUCUGUUCAAUGUUUUUUUUCCUUUUUAUAAGCUAUCGAACUUGCCAACGAGAGCAUUUAGCUUUUGUAAAUCUGUUUGCUGUGUUUUUUUGUUUAAAAAAAAUUACACUAGAAAAAUAGGUUGUAUGCAAAAAUUUAAAACGCUAGAGAAAAUUAAAAUAAACUUGUCAAACCAACAUAAAACAUGAAAAGUGUGGAGAAUAAGUAGGGGUUUAAACCCAAAUCCAAUCCAAAUGGCUCAAUAGCAAGAUAGAGAGCAAGAGUUGAGUCGAGAGGCUACUAUCAAACUUCUAGAAUUGACUAUACAUAUCCUUUUAGUCAAGUUGCUACUUCUAGAGCUGACUAUACAUAGGCUUUUAGUUAAGUUGCUAGAUGUGUAACAGGAAAGAGACCCUUGUGCUUGUGCUUGGCACUAAUAAACUUAAAAUUGGGAUAUUAAGAAAAUUGAGUGCUAAGCACAAGAGUACGAUUGUUUAAUGUUAGUAAUGAAUGAGUUAAGUUUGUAUGAUUGGUUAAUGUCAAUGAUGAACGAGUUAAUCAGUUAGGAAAUCCCACAAAGUUAGUUAUAAGAUGUGACAAUCUAGUGCUAUAAGUGAAUUGAGUGUUAAUCAAUCUCAAUUUUAUUAUAUAUAUAUAUAUAUAGAGAGAGAGAGAGAGAGAGAGAGAGAGAGAGAGUCGUUUUUCCAGUGUGGAUGAGGAUGCACACUAAAAUACAAAAAAAAUAUAGAUUUCAAAAGAAGGUAAAGAGAGAGUCGUUCUUCAGUGUGGAUGAGGAUGCACACUAAAAUACAAAAAAAAAUACAUAUUUCAAAUAUAAGGUGAAGAGAGAGUCAUUUUUCAGUGUGUAUGAGGAUGCACAUUAAAAUACAAAAAAUAAAAAAUUCAAAAUAACGUGGAGAUUGUAUUUUUUUUGUCUAUUAGUAAAGUAAAGUUCAUUCUGAGGCAAUGUACAUGAUGACUUUAAUUCCUGAAUUUUUAGAAAGGUUUAAUUGAAAAUAACCCCAAAAAAAAGUUAGAUUCAUCGUAAGUUAAUUUGAAAAUGAAGUUUGAGCACUUAUCAUCGACUGUAAAUCAUUUUGAGAUAGAAGUCUUUCUAUUCUCUUACGGUACAAAGAAAAGAGAAAAAUGUAGGGGAAUACCUUAAUUAAAAAAGAGAAGAGUAGGUAAAUAAUUUAUUAUCACAGUGGACCCACAUUAGUUAACUAAUUUUUAAAAUUAAUAUAUUUCAUGCCGCUUUAAUCUCAACCCUUGAAUGAGUUAUAAUCUAAUGAUUAAAAAUCUGUGUUUAAUAUUGUGUCUCUUAAACUUUAAAACUGCACAGUUUUUAAGUUUUUAAAGACUUUCCUGCAUUUUAAAAUCUUGAAUUAAAAAAUACUAGGGGUGGGCAUCAACCCGCCUAACCCGUGAACCCGACCCAACCCGUGUGAUUUUUUACGGGUUCGGUUGGGUUGAUAAAAUAAACGGGUUGGGUUGGGUUAUUAAAUUCCCAACCCGCACUAUUUGCGGGUUGGAUUUUUUAACCCAACCCAACCCGUCAACCCAUAUAUAUAUAUAUAUA
rnacentral:lncRNA from 1 species